AGUGACUGAGUCGUGCCUAGACCAUCGGCGUAAAACGCGUGCUAACAACAUUGAAAAAUCGUGCGCGCCUAGAAAAUACUUAUUUCUAUUUUAUAGCACGGGGAAGGACGAAAAUGUUGUUUGCGUAUAUUGUAAAAUUGUUCAGUUGAGGUAUAACCGUACAUGUAACAAGUAUAACCGAAAAAAAAAGAGUUGUAAGAAAAAUCGAGUGUUAUCAAUAACUUUUAAAUAAACACAAAAAGGAAGUGUGGUGUUAAAAAAGGUGUUUUAUUUUGAAUUAAACCGGUGGAAAGAGAGGCCUGUUUAAACAACUUAAAGUUGAGCUCUCCACCGCCGCAACCACCGUCGGCAUUACAAAAAGACGGGGGUGCCACAUACCGAGUCGAGGGGCGAAGGAGCCGCCCCCAGCAACAGCUUGUUCAACGUGGAAGAAAACCACCUAGAGGUAGUUUGGAAAAUGUCUCCAGUAAACCUUUAGUGGGUGACUUCGUGUAUGACGUUAUCGACGACCAAGAGGAAUUAAGUUUAAGAAGAAGUAGGAGCCUUGCACUUAUUAGGGAAGAUACUUUUAACAGUUUAGAAAUUCCGGCGGCCGUCGGACAACAAAGGAGGUCGCAACUUAUCCCUAGAGCUAAACUCAUAGAUAGAAAUUUGAAGGAUAAUAAGUUCUUAACAAAAGGUAAAAGCCAAGAAUCUAUAUACAGCGACCUAAAUAUUCCAAAGAAACGAAAAUCAACAAAAUCUGAAAGUAAAGAGACAGCCAGCGAGGGUGAUAUCUACGGGGAAAUCGAU